GACGAACGCUGGCGGCGUGCCUAAUACAUGCAAGUCGAACGAGAGCAACCGGUGCUUGCACUGGUCAAUCUAGUGGCGAACGGGUGAGUAACACGUGGGUAACCUGCCCAUCAGAGGGGGAUAACAUCCGGAAACGGAUGCUAAAACCGCAUAGGUCUUCGAACUGCAUGGUUUGAAGAGGAAAAGAGGCGCAAGCUUCUGCUGAUGGAUGGACCCGCGGUGCAUUAGCUAGUUGGUGAGGUAACGGCUCACCAAGGCCGUGAUGCAUAGCCGACCUGAGAGGGUGAUCGGCCACAUUGGGACUGAGACACGGCCCAAACUCCUACGGGAGGCAGCAGUAGGGAAUCUUCCGCAAUGGACGCAAGUCUGACGGAGCAACGCCGCGUGAGUGAAGAAGGUUUUCGGAUCGUAAAACUCUGUUGUUAGAGAAGAACAAGUGCUAGAGUAACUGUUAGCGCCUUGACGGUAUCUAACCAGAAAGCCACGGCUAACUACGUG
rnacentral:rRNA from 1 species